CACUUCUGAUUAAACUAUUUACAUAACCGGCAUUUAUUCAGCAACUAGUUAACAACACACACACAUUCCAGAUGUCUAAGCACUACACACUUCCAUUGUCGGCAGUCCAUCUCAGAUUACCACCAACGCACUGGUCAUUGUGAUGCAUAAAUAAUUACUUCUAGCUACUUCUGCCAGGGUUGUUAUUUCUUUGUAAGCCAAAACACCCAGCCAGAGAUAGUUUACAUAAAACACCAUUGCUGGAUGUAAACACUUAGAGCUAGCAUGUGUCAUUAGUAUUUAUAGUUAUUUUUAACAAAUCAGUAAGAAAUUAACAAAUUCCAACUUUGCCUUUCAGGAAUGGAUGUGUUGAUGAAUAUACAUUGAUCAGCAGUGACUAACGACACGGAGGCCAUUAUGGCCUCUGUGGAGCAACCUAGGAUGAAGGAGGGCCUUGCAUGUAUGAGACAACCCAGUCUCAUUAAACAGCUCAAAUCGGUACUGGACCAGUAUCCAAAAGGACAGAUUCUCAAGGGUACAUUUACGAUGACAACGUGAUUUAAAUCGAUGAAACGAUUUUUACUUCAGUAAAUCGAAGCACAAGAACCUGGAAGUGACGAACGUCGAAUGCAAGCAAAAGAUGAUUGAAAACAUCCUGUUAACUUUUGUCAGAACUGACAAAUUAAAAUGUCUUGUUUCGU